CUGGAGUCAAAGGUGGACCGCAUACUACAACUACUGUGAGGAAUCAGGCUGCUGAAGAAGCUGACUGCAUUGGAGAUAAUGCAGGCCAGACUUAAAACAACGGAGGAGCUGGACCAAUUCAGCAAAACGCUGGAGGACCAGGAGUUUAGGAGGACAGUGGUGAAUCUGCUGAAACAGCUAUCUGGAUCAAUGCUGAACUCCUUUGCCAGGACGAUGCUCGGUGAAAUUGGGACGUGGUGGUUGUGGGCUGGCGUCAGCCUCAAAGGAUGGAAAGGGAAGAAAGCCCUGCAGCCUCUCACUCGCUAGAGUUUUGAAGAAAGCCUUCAGCAACAAGAUGGAAAUUUUACCAGAUGCUAUCAAUGAUGCGUUAACUGAAACACUGCGCCAUGCAGCAAAGAGGGCAAAGAAGGAGGAUGAAAGAAUUGGUACUGGUGUUAAUGCUGACUCAGAUGCUGGGGUGGAUGAAGCCAUGGGCGACGAUGUGGAUGCCGAUGCCAUGGACCAUU